CCUACGGGAGGCAGCAGUGGGGAAUAUUGCACAAUGGGCGCAAGCCUGAUGCAGCCAUGCCGCGUGUGUGAAGAAGGCCUUCGGGUUGUAAAGCACUUUCAGCGGGGAGGAAGGCGGUGAGGUUAAUAACCUCAUCGAUUGACGUUACCCGCAGAAGAGGCACCGGCUAACUCCGUGCCAGCAGCCGCGGUAAUACGGAGGGUGCAAGCGUUAAUCGGAAUUACUGGGCGUAAAGCGCACGCAGGCGGUCUGUCAAGUCGGAUGUGAAAUCCCCGGGCUCAACCUGGGAACUGCAUUCGAAACUGGCAGGCUAGAGUCUUGUAGAGGGGGGUAGAAUUCCAGGUGUAGCGGUGAAAUGCGUAGAGAUCUGGAGGAAUACCGGUGGCGAAGGCGGCCCCCUGGACAAAGACUGACGCUCAGGUGCGAAAGCGUGGGGAGCAAACAGGAUUAGAUACCCGUGUAGUC
rnacentral:rRNA from 1 species